UGGGUGUGAGGGCAUUAGGGUUCGAUUCCGGAGAGGGAGCCUGAGAAACGGCUACCACAUCUAAGGAAGGCAGCAGGCGCGCAAAUUACCCAAUCCUAAUACAGGGAGGUAGUGACAAGAAAUAACAAUACAGGACUUUUUGGUUUUGUAAUUGGAAUGAGUUAUGUAUAAACCCCUUUACAAGUAUCAAUUGGAGGGCAAGUCUGA
rnacentral:rRNA from 1 species